UCAUAUUCUGGUAGGUUCCUAUACCUGCUUCUCUGUUCUGUUCUGUCUCCAGUAACCUUUUCCAGCCCUGGCUGCAGGGCCUCGAGGGCCUGCCCCUCUCUGAGCUCCUCUUUGGGGCGUCUGUGUCCCUCCUUGGACUGUGAAUUCUGUCCUGCCCUGGGCCUUGGCUUCAACUGUUGCCUUUAACUGCCACCAGAAUGUUCUGUCCUUAAAGUUCUCAGGGGUUGGUGCUGGGGCUUAGCAGCCAGGGGGAGGAUAAGACUUGGAGCCCAACAUCCAGGCUUUUACCUUCUGAGUUGGCUCAGCCUUCAGUAUGCAGUAAAGAGGAGCGAUGAAGGAAGACAUUUGGAAUAGAAAAGUGUAGAAGGAGCCAAGAGAAACUAAGGGCUUUGAACAAGAAGCGGCAGGGGAGUUGGGUCAAGACAGGUCAAGAGUUUUGUGGAGAUUUCUAACAUCUCAAAGAAGGAAGCCAAACUUAUUCAGUGUUAGCAGAAAUAACUCUGUUUCCUGCAGAGCCACCUGUCAGCAGUUCACGGGCGGGCUCCAGACUCAGCAGGAAUGGAGGGAACUCACUGCAGCUAGUGGAAGGAAGACCUCACAUGGCCAAGUGAUCCUAAUUCAACUCCAUCUGGUGCUGUUUAUGGAAGGGAAGAGGCCUCCGAUAAGCACAGCUGGGGAGGAGAUUUUCCAGCGCUGCUGUCCUGUUGUUUUGCUCACUUUCUCCCAGCACAGAAGACCGUCUGCAAACGAUCAAAGAAGUGAAAGAAAUCUGAAGACAAAAUAUAUCUUCGGAAUUUCACCAAGUCUUUGGAUUUGAAUGGAGAAGGAUGAACAACGUGGUGUGGAACUUGGGACCUCAGAAGGUUCUGGAGGGUCUACAACUCACUGCUUGUCCUUUAAAUGCCCCCGUCCUUCCCUUUCAGCUUCAUGUCCAUGCUCAUUCAUGGCCCAACUGAAGAAACAAAAGGAAAAUUAAAGUGUCUAUGAUCAGGAGUUUGGGUCUUUAGAUGGGGGAGGGACCCGAGAAGACAUUCCACUGACAUCCUGUUUUUCACAGACUGAUCUGAGGUCUGUUGACCCCCACGACACACCUGUAUCUUCCAAGUGAUCAACCCUGGUCUACAGAUAAUGAGCGGAAAUGCAUGUUGUUGCAAAGGACAUCGGUUUCCUUUCUAGACGGACAGGGACAUGUGGGGUUAGGAUCAGAACUCUCUGGGUCUUUAGUAUCCUAUUUUUUUUUUUUCCUUUUUUAAAUGUGGACUGGGUAAAUAUUAAAAAUCACAGUUUUUAUUUACUCUGUGAGUGAAUUCUCCUACCUGGGCCUGGAGGUCGAGUCUGUGCCAUAGCCACGUUUUCUGUUCAUUUCGGGGUCCCUGGAACUGUGUUCUGUCACAGGU